GGACUGUAGCUCAGUGGUAGAGUGCUUGCCUGGCAUGUGGGAGGCAUGGGGUUUGAUCCUCGGCACCA
rnacentral:tRNA from 1 species